CACGCGUUGCCACGGGCGACCGGAGCCGCCGGGGGCGCCCGCGACCCCGCGGCCCCGCUGAGCCAGUUGCGAGGGAACUGCGGGAAUGGCUCUGCCUAGUUUAGGACGCGGUUCUUAGCAGGAGACAGUCGCAGGGCGCGGGCACUCAAGGGCGGCCCACAGCCCAGGAAGCAGUCGCCCUGCGUGAUAAGCGCAGAGGGGACUCGGAAACAGGUGCAUGUCGGGGACCUGCACACCACUGCCUGCGGGAGACGUACCGUUCGUUCAGUAUCCCAACAUUUAUUGCGCUCCUAAGAGUGCUCUCCAAGUCGGAAAAAUCUCUGCCCCCGACAUGGGCAAAGGGUGCAGGCAGACCUUCAACGAAAGAAAAAGAGGUGAAUGGCCCAGAGGCUCAUGAAAAGAGGCUUACCAUACAGAGUCAUCAGGGAAAUGCAAAUCAAACCACUUCAGGGUUGAAGAGAAGGGAAGGGAAGGGACCACUUCACUCCUACUAGGAUGGCCUAUGAAAAAGAAAACAAAGGUCUUGCUUUUGGGUGUGGCUUCCCUCUCUACUUCCUGCGCCCUGGACCUAUCUCCUUCCCCCAGAACGUGCUUGGGGUGAAUCACACCUGGGACUCCGCCUCGGAGCCUUCCAGAGUCAGCACAUCGCGUGGCCCGCGGGGAAGCCCUGCGUGAACGUUAGCCUGAGUCACAAAACACGGUCGAGAUGACGUCCUCGUAAGCCAGCCAAGGCCACUGCAAAGUCAACCCGGAGUCACCUUUUGAACAUGCAGGAAGAAAAUAAAAAAAAGCAUCCGGAUGUCAGCUCCACGAGGCCAGACUCUCGCUCUAUGCCCUCUGUGCCCGUGACCGCCCGCCACACGGUAGAUGUUCCAUACAUGUUUGCGGAAAUGAAUGCCCUGAACGUUUAAACCAGCAGCGGG